rnacentral:rRNA from 1 species
AAUUCCACGUGUAGCGGUGAAAUGCGUAGAGAUGUGGAGGAACACCAGUGGCGAAGGCGACUCUCUGGUCUGUAACUGACGCUGAGGAGCGAAAGCGUGGGGAGCGAACAGGAUUAGAUACCCUGGUAGUCCACGCCGUAAACGAUGAGUGCUAAGUGUUAGGGGGUUUCCGCCCCUUAGUGCUGCAGCUAACGCAUUAAGCACUCCGCCUGGGGAGUACGGUCGCAAGACUGAAACUCAAAGGAAUUGACGGGGGCCCGCACAAGCGGUGGAGCAUGUGGUUUAAUUCGAAGCAACGCGAAGAACCUUACCAGGUCUUGACAUCCUCUGACAAUCCUAGAGAUAGGACGUCCCCUUCGGGGGCAGAGUGACAGGUGGUGCAUGGUUGUCGUCAGCUCGUGUCGUGAGAUGUUGGGUUAAGUCCCGCAACGAGCGCAACCCUUGAUCUUAGUUGCCAGCAUUCAGUUGGGCACUCUAAGGUGACUGCCGGUGACAAACCGGAGGAAGGUGGGGAUGACGUCAAAUCAUCAUGCCCCUUAUGACCUGGGCUACACACGUGCUACAAUGGACAGAACAAAGGGCAGCGAAACCGCGAGGUUAAGCCAAUCCCACAAAUCUGUUCUCAGUUCGGAUCGCAGUCUGCAACUCGACUGCGUGAAGCUGGAAUCGCUAGUAAUCGCGGAUCAGCAUGCCGCGGGGAAUACGUUCCCGGGCCUUGUACACACCGCCCGUCACACCACGAGAGUUUGUAACACCCGAAGUCGGUGAGGUAACCUUUUAGGAGCCAGCCGCCGAAGGUGGACA